ensembl:lncRNA
GGGGAUUAAAUUCAGAAUAAUGUAUUGCUGUUUUGUAAAUAAUAUUUAAUCAUGUAAUCCAUAAAAAAGUAACUGUAGUCUGAUUGAGUUUUAUAAAAUUUUAUUUAAUCUAAUUACAAGUUCUUUAUUUACUGGAAUCUGUUUACGUAAUCCAGAUUACAUGUAAUCAGUUACUACUGAGCUCAGAACAGGGAUUAGUUUAAAUCAGGACUAUAGGUCCUAGUUUUGCUUUUAUGAAAAUGGUGCAUGUAUGCAUCUUGAGAUGAAACAAUGGCACUGACAUAUUGUAAGGAAUGUCAUUGCAAGUUAUUUUCAUUUAAGACAGCUCACAUGCAUUUUAGUCUGGGACUAGCCUUAAGCCUGGUCUGUGAAACCAGGUAUAUAAUAGACAUUAUUUACUUCAGUACAACUGUUAAACCUACAAAUGUCAAUGAUUUUUACCAUCUUUUGCAUCAUUGCUUUUUCUGAUAAUUGUCUUUCCAAUUUGUCUAGUUCCUCCAUGGUUGUGUGAGGAAAGACAUCAUCCUCGCUGUCCACCAGCAGCACUGGAGCACUGGAACGUCUGUUAGCUGCAAGGGACUGGACCACUGAAGUCAGAUGAUUGAUCUUCAUGUCCAGUUCGUUAAGUGCCUCCAGAAUUGUCCUCUCAACAGCUGCAACACAUUAGAUGGGUGUUCACCCCAAGCAUCCUCAUUUUCAUUGGACAAGCUCACUGGAACAGCUGGAGUUAAGAAAGGUGAAGUUGGGUCCGGUGACAACUAGGGGGUGUCGACAAACUUCCAUUGAGGACCAUUAGACCACUCAAGAAGAAUUACCUCAUAUGACCAAGAUUUAAUGUUGUAAAGCAGAUUUUGAGCGGAUCUCCUUCAUUCUGCCGCCAGCUCACCAGAACCUCUGGGUGCACCAGCUGUGGAUAUUACAGGCCAAACUUUGGACACCCUAGGACAACAUGCUAAGAAGCACAGAUCUACCGAUAGCCCUCCAUCAUUCCCACAUCCAUCUUGCAACAAAGUUUCAUUAAGUGCAGUCCAUAACUAGUGUCUGCCAUACACGGUUUAUUAUGGAUUAUAAGGAUUAUUCUAUUAGAGAUCUUUCUAUUUUUUUUGAGACUGUUAUUAUGUAGUCUGUUAUGUUGUGAAUAAAGUCAAACCCCCUCACC